ensembl:lncRNA
CCUGGUCUGUAUUAUAAGAAGUCUGUUGUACAUGGCUCAGAUUAAAUAAUGAAGUUCAUACUAAUUAACAGUAUGAUCAGUUGAUUGCAAACAGAUGUGUAUAGGCUGUUCUAGCUGUUCCUAACCCCUCCCAUUUGCCUGCAGUAACUGGCUGCAUGGAAUGGAAGGUGCUAAUCCCCUGCAGACAGAGCUCAUGCUAGGCAGUACUGGCUGUCAGGUUUUUUAAACGGCUGAGACAGACACCAGCCCACUCCUGCUGGUCUUUGCAGGGUCAGAAGUACAGUGCAGGUGAGCACAGUCUCUGUGGCAGCUGGCAGCAAGGAGACGAGAUUGUUGUCUGCAAGGGUGUGGGGAGGUAGAGCUGACAUCCCUCAUCUUGGCCUCCUGGGAGGCUUUGUGGCAGCUGCUUCCCUGGAGCACUGGGAAGGACAGCAGUCAUGGCCCUGGCCCUGCCACUGUACCUACUGCAAGGGUGGUUGGAACUGCUAAAGGUCACUUUGGGCAGGCUUCUGUGCCACCAGCCCAGCGUGCGCAAGGUGACAGAGAGAUCUGACCAGACAUCAAAGUGCUUGAUUAAAUAGAAGCUCUCCUGUUGCUUCCCAAGAUGGAUAUGGAGUAUGUGAUAAAUGGCCAAUAGCUUGCCUGACAUUGUCCAAAGGCUGUAAACACUAACUGAAUCCCCAUUCUCACCUGCUGCCAGUUACUGCUUCCUGCUCUCUCCUUGUCUUACUAUUAUCAACUGGAAGAUUUGUUGUAACAGAUGAGAUCACUGAUUUUAGAUAUCACAAUUGCAGUUUUAAAGGUGUUUCUGCUGUCUUCAGGAGUUGCACAUAAUAAAACAGGAUGUCGUUUUGCAAACCAUUUUGGAACACCUUAAAUUUGAGCAUAUUACAGAGUCCUUUCACAAGAUCGGUAUUUGUGAAAAGAAAGCUUAUCUUCUGAAGACUUUGAUGCUAUAAUACCUUAUGUAACAAAUACCACAGUGUCAAAAUCUCCUUGUGCCUAUGAUGUGCUACUUAUUGCUCUCACCUGUAGCGCUCCAGUUCAUGAUGGCAGCAAAGGGGCAAUUUGACAAAAAGAUGUCUGAAGCGAAGGUGUGUCACUGAAUUCCUCCACGUAGAAGCAACUGCACCCAUUGAUGUUUAUUGAUGCUUGCUGAACAUUUAUGGAGACUUAACCGUGGAUGUGAGCACAGUGAGGAGGUGGAUGGUGCAUUUCAUCAGUGGUGACAGUGGGUCACCUCCACUGCUACAGGUUGUUAUGAGUGCGUCAUGCAGGCUGUUGUUCAUCACUGGUGAAAAUGUAUAGUUUGUGGUGGUGACUGUGUUGAAAACUAGUCUUUUGUAGCUGAGAAUUUGCUCUAUCACCUACUGUUCUUGUGCUCUUUGUAUUUACUGUAGUUUAUGUGGAAAUGAAUUGGAGGCGUUGCUUUCAGAUCUACAUAGGUACAUCAUGAAAAUAAACAGCUUGUUUAAAGAAUGAGUCUAUUCAUAUUCUAGUGAGGGAGAAGUAACAGCCUGCACUUAUCUCUUAGUAAACACCACACAUGAGAUCCACAACAUAAGUCUCCCAUCCCAUGAAACUACUUGUUUAUGAAUGCUAUUUAGAGGCAUCUGUCUUUUAUGUGAUAAUCUUUUUUUGUUUUUUAUUAGCAUGUACAACUUUAAUAUUUAGCAAACCCAUCUUGCAUAACAUUCUAUGAUUUACUGAAAUGAUAUGCAGACUGCAGAAUCGGCAGUGCUGAUAAAAGUGACUGCUCCCAUCUAAUGGUAAACGGAAGAACAACAGAAAAAUAAUAAUAAUAAUAAAAAAUUCUGCUUUACAGCAGCAGCUGUAGGCACAUUGAAAGUUAUAUUCCCAGAUCCAGAGGGUUCAAAAUAGAACCUAAAUAAGAUAGCAAGUAGGAGGAUAAGAGGAUGGUAAUAUAUAUUUUAAAUAAUUUGUUAAUAUUUUUAACUUGCUUUUAAUGUUGUAACAGUAGAUGUUAAAAUAAAUAUUGUCUUUUUAUCCAGUUCUUAUUACAACUUGUGUGUGGAUGAAACUUUGAUCUUGUGGACGUGAGGAUAUGUAUUAUAUAUAUAUGUUGUUAUAUGUAUGUAUAUACAUGAUAUAUAUGUAUGAUAUAUGUAUUCUAUUCAAAUGAUAGCACAUGACAGAUUAAACCUUUAGGUGGAAUAAGGAUAGAUAGAAACAUUUCUGAACAAAGUACUUCAUAGGAGAGAUGCAGAAGAGGAUGUAUGUAUGGCACAGUAUAAUUAGGUUUGGAAAUUAUUCAGUUAUCGUGGUGAUAUGAAAUUAGAGGCUUCAUGGAAUCAUUUAGGUGGGAAAAGACUCUUAAAAUCAUCAAAUCCAAGCAUUGCUAGAAUUGUAACAUGUUGGAUAUAUACAAGUUCAGUAACACACAUCAUGAUUAUAUAAUGAAUGUUAUUAAACAUCUACUCACAAAAUUAUUCCAUUAAAAUCAAUUAAAUAUUCUCAGUAGCUAUGUAUUUGUGUACUGGAGGAGCAAGACCUGCAGUAUAAGACAUCAUUAAAGGACAAUAUUCCUUUUCUGUAGCCAUUGCCAAUGUAACCACAGCUAUUGCUGUGUGACCUGAUGAGAAAGAAACUGAAAAAAAAAAAAAAAAUAGAAAAAGGAACAAGGGAAAAAAAAAAUGUUGGCAACGACAAAUGUAUUUUUUCUGUCAUUGUAAC